UACAGAGGUAGCAAGCGUUGUUCGGAAUGACUGGGUGUAAAGGACGUGUAGGCGGUUUAGUAAGUUGAAUGUGAAAUCCUCCCGCUCAACGGGAGAACUGCAUUCAAAACUGCUUUACUUGAGUACGGGAGAGGAAAGCGGAAUUUCUGGUGUAGCGGUAAAAUGCGUAGAUAUCAGAAGGAACACCAGUGGCGAAGGCGGCUUUCUGGACCGUAACUGACGCUGAAACGUGAAAGCUAGGGGAG
rnacentral:rRNA from 1 species